AUACGUAGGGUGCAAGCGUUAAUCGGAAUUACUGGGCGUAAAGCGUGCGCAGGCGGUUUUGUAAGACAGUGGUGAAAUCCCCGGGCUCAACCUGGGAACUGCCCUUGUGACUGCAAGGCUGGAGUGCGGCAGAGGGGGAUGGAAUUCCGCGUGUAGCAGUGAAAUGAGUAGAUAUGCGGAGGAACACCGAUGGCGAAGGCAAUCCCCUGGGCCUGUACUGACGCUCAUGCACGAAAGCGUGGGGAGCAAACAGGAUUAGAUACCCUGGUAGUCCACGCCCUAAACGAUGUCAACUGGUUGUUGGGUCUUCAUUGACUCAGUAACGAAGCUAACGCGUGAAGUUGACCGCCUGGGGAGUACGGCCGCAAGGUUGAAACUCAAAUGAAUUGACGGGG
rnacentral:rRNA from 1 species